GACCGCGAGUCCCGGUCCUCUCCGGCUCUCCCUGCCGGCCGCCUCCCCUCAACCUAGCAGGCAGCAGCAGCCGCCGGUCGGCAACUCAGGCCCCUGCCGCUAGAGGCCGUCCGUGGCUCUGCUCCGCGGUCGGAGGCGCCGGGCGCGCUUGGCUGGGCGGUUGUCCGCCUGGCCGCAGCCGCACUGGCCGCCUGGCUGUGGCCUGCGACACUGCAUUUCCGUAGCGGCGUGGGCAGGGUGCCAGCGGCCAGCCACCAGGGCCGCGCGGCCGCGCGGUACUCAUCGCCUACUCCUAAUCGUCUGAGGCCUGAAUUUAAAUUGCAACGUGCUGCUUCUUUAUAUGCACUUCUGAAUGCUUGGAACUGGUGUGACUACAUAGUUUGGUAUUCAUUUCAUAAAUGAUGGAAAGAAGAUUGGGACGCCAUGUAUAUUUGAUUCCCAGAACUCUUCCCUUUAUGCAACUGAAUGCUAUGUCCUCAUUCUCAGCUGGCCAUGGACGCCGGCCCAAGAAGAAGCUAUAUCACCGUGAACCUGGUCUUGACAAGGCCAUGGAUCUUCAAAAGAAGCCUGCUCUUCUCCUUCGUCUGCGUGACCUCAUUCUGGCACAAAAGACAGGGUCACUACUUGUACGUGACCUUGAAAAGGAGGUUGGCUUUGUCCAAAAAUGGAACUUUCUUUCACUUAUCGAGCGCCACCCCAAUAUCUUCCAUGUCUCUGGUGGAAGUGCUUCCCGAGAGCCCAUUUCUGUCACACUUACGGAGAAGGCCAGAAAGAUAUCCAGUGAAGAGGCUGAAGCGCGAGAGCUAAUGGAGCCAAUCUUGGUGAGAAACCUUAGGAAGUUACUGAUGAUGUCGAUGGACUGCCAGAUUCCUCUGGAGAAGAUUGAACUAAUCCAGUCUGAACUGGGCUUACCUAAGAACUUCAAGAGCAACUUGAUUCCAAGGUACCCUGAUUUUUUCUCAAUCCGUGAUGUGAAGGGACUGGACCAUUUGUGUCUGGAGAAUUGGGACUCUUCAUUAGCAGUUACAAUACGAGAAGAAAAAAUGAUUUUUGAAGGUUCCCAGAUAGGCCGUAGAGGGAUUCCUAAAGAUGGAAAUUUCUUGGGUCCUUUUGCUUUCAAGUUGAAGUAUCCAGCAGGAUUUAGGCCAAACCGAAAGUACCUUGAGGAGGUUGUCAGGUGGCAGAAGAUGGCAUUUCCUUCACCUUAUUUGAAUGCUAGGCGAGUCGAGUCUGCAACACCACAGGCUCGAAAGCGUGCCAUUGCUGUUCUGCAUGAGAUUUUGAGCCUGACAAUGGAGAGGCGGUUGGCAUCUGAUAAGCUAGAUAUAUUUCACAACGAGUACAGGCUUCCAUGCAAAUUACUUCUUUGUCUGGUGAAAAAUCAUGGCAUCUUCUACAUCACUAACAAGGGAGCAAGAAGCACAGUCUUCCUCAAGGAGGCUUACGAAAACAGUAACCUUAUUGAUAAGUGUCCUUUACUGAAAUUCCAUGAUCGGUUUGCAUCUUUGAUUGGCCGACCGUGCUCCAACUCAGACAACAUGCUGGCAGUAUAAUUGGAGUGUGGAUUUACUGAUCAGGAGAUAAACUAUAGUUGGUGCAUCUGUUUUGUUGAAACUCAGCAUUUGCAUCAUCCUAUACAAUCAUCAAAUUCAUGUUGCAGAUUGUCCUGUUUGUGUUAACCAAGACUUGUGCACCUGGGAUUAUCAGCCCCACUUCUUUGUGAUGCAUUAGUAACAGCUGGGCAGAGGGAACUCACAAUAGGGUCAAAUAUGAGAAAUGCUGGCCAAUGAAUUAUUAUGUUAUCUGUAUCCAUCAGGAACAGGUACUGGUUUGUGUCAAAAUUGAUACACUCAGCAGUUAUCAAAUAAAGAAACUGUCUGAUUGAGUGCUGACAGACUGAUGCCAUCAUCUCUCUGAAAGCUUGUGGGUUACAUUGUUGCUUUGCUGAAUAAUGAUCAACGGAAUGGGGACACUCAGUGCUGUUGAUCUGGGAUCAGAUUCUAAAUGGGGGAAAGCUUUAGCAAUGUACCGAAGUGGCUGUCCACAAUGCGCAAGGAAUGCCUUGGUGGGAGAUGCAUCGCAGAUGUUCUCAACUUAACUACAACGCUAAACUGAGCUUUCAGUGGGAUCUGUUGGAAUAAUCAGAUGAGCAUAUACCAAGUAAAGAUCAACCGACAAAAUUAUGGAUGGUGUGGACACAUUGAGGUGAAAUCAUGCCAACUGGCUGCUGCUCGAUUAUAGCCCAUGAAAGUGAGGAGCAUAUACGGGGUGCAGCGAUUGGGACCAGGUUCUGCAUACGCCAAGAGGGCCCCCAUAGUAGUGGUCAUGAGCCUGGUCAGAUGCACUAAAAGCUAGAUUUUGAUGGGAGUUAGUGGCUGAUAGUUUAGGCAAGCCUAUCCUGAAGUCAUCCGAACAAAGGAUGGAGACUAGACGCCCUUUUCGUAUCCUGCUUUUUUCCUUCUGGUAAGCAUUUAUGCCUGCCUCUUUGGUAGCCUUUCUGUUUGCUGUUACUUCCACAACUUACAUUGUGGACCUUGCAUCGUUGGCUUUUAAAUUUGUUGGCUCUAUUAUUGGCCACCAAGAGCACAUGCUUUUACUUUGCUCCUCCAGUCACCGUCGGCCCCUAGUGAGUGACCCAUCUGGAUUUCCAUGUUGAUGCGUCUUCCUUGUACACCAUUCUUUGCUUGCAUGUCACUGUCCUUGGGUGGCAUUACCCAUCUGAUAAACAACUUUUGUGUGUGGCUGGGGCCUGCCUUUCGAGGUUGGCAACUUCCACAAAAUCGCAAGGGUUAUCACUGCAUCGGAACCGGCUUCUCUGGUUGGUUUUGGUGUCCCUUUCCCUGGACCCUGCCUUGACUUUAGGAAGCUACCACUAUCUUUACUUGCCCUUCACUUCGAUUCCCAUACUUACCACCUGAUUUAGACCUAAAUCUAAUUUUAUGCCCCCAUUUAGGUGGUUUCUGGCUUCUUGCAGCUUAUCGCUAGAACAUCAUUAUCCUUUAGUUUUUUGCUGAACUUUUUUAUUGGUUCUUAUUUCUUUUUUCUGCUCUUAAGUAAUAGUUUCUCAAGCUUUAGAGGAAGUCAAUUGAUCCCAUGAAUCUCAUCUCAUCUCAUUGUUAAACGUCUCUCGGUUGAAUGCCACAAGUAGGUCUGGCCAGCCCCGACCACUGUUAUUUCUACCAUUGUUCACCUAAUGUCUACCCAUUUGAUGGAAAGAGCACCUCAUUCAGGCUGUGCAACCGUUUCUCUUUCGCUUGCUUGAAUGAUCAAAUUGGCACUUAGCGGGCGAAACAGUCCUGAUUUGAACAUCUGAGCGUGCUCAGCCAUCGCCGUCCGUCCACCCGGACAAGAAUUUGGACUGUGUAUCAGCGUCAUCCUGGAGUCUGGUUUCUUCCAACUCCUCCAGCAGCAAGUCAUUUUUGUACUUGUCUCAUCUGAAGAAAGUAAUGUUGUGCUUAUUCUAUCCAUGGAGUAGGGGUCCAACGUGGCGUAGCCAUGUGUGAUUUAUUAGGUUGAGAUUUCGCAAUCCAGGCGUACAAUUGGGCUGCCUGCCUGCCUGCCUGUCCCUCUUUACCCAAUCCAUUGGUAGUGUUUGCAAGUUUUCCUCAUCUUUCUUUAUCCCUGUCAUGUUGACAAGUAAAGACAUGGGGCAUAUUAUUCUUCGAGCCCAUUACUGAAAGAAACGAUUUUAUUCCAUGUCGAUCAGGCCGGGCAUCUAGAGAGGGAGAUGAAUCGUUCCAUCUUUAGCUCACCACCAAACCCACCGGGUCAAUCCACUGAGGAAAUAAGGUCUACUAGCAACCUGCAAAAAAUCAAGUUGUAGUGCAGCAGAGGCCAAGUUUUGUUAAAGAUAAUAAACAGGUAAUGAUUUCUUGUAGUAAGCUGUGAAUGGCAGAAGCAGCCAAUGCAAGGGGCAUAUGCGUCCAUGGCAGUGACCUCUGCAAGCUGCAUUGCGUCGCUUCUCAUCUGAAUGAUGAUGAUGGUGGUGGUGGAGGACCGCUGUGUGAUGUGGUGUGUGGGAUUCCGCCGGGUUUUGCUGUUGUCUGCUGCUGCCGGAUGCUGAAGGUGAAGCCAUGCACCUGCACCUUUCUGCCAGCAAAAGAAAACUUGCUGUAUCCUGUUCUACUGCUGCAAUGAGAACCUUGCACGCCUCCAAUGCUGCAAGUGGUGGGUUGAUUUCAGCAGAUAUAUACACAAUACGAUACGUACUCCUACUUGUGUGAGCUUGUUCUGGAGCUUUCGCCGGGUGUUUCUUUCUCGCCUGUCAAUCAUCAUGUGCUGCAUGCUUGCAGCAAUUACAGGGGGGACGCUGAUGGUGGGCGUGGAAUGGGAUGGGAGGCCGCAUAAAUCCAGGGAAAGGGACGCGUGCGUGCAUAAUUGCGCACAGCACAGCACACACACACACACACAUCUAUGAUGUAUGUACAUGCAAUUAUAAAUCCUGACCUGACGCUUGUGUUGUGUGCUUGUGAAGUUGUGAUCCAUGCAUGACUGGAGAGCCCUGGCGACGGGCAUCCUGGCGCACCGACUGCACCUAGCUUCUUCUUUCGGCAGCUAGCUAGCACUCCGCGCGACACGAGGCCGUGUGGGAUGGAAUUGGAUUUUUUGGCAUUUGGGAGGCGGAUGAAGGAAACCAAUUCAACCCCGUAUUCAGAGGCCAGCGUUCACUUGAAAGCCAAGGCAGCUGGGGAGGAGCCAUGCAUGCGCGCGCCCCAUGCCAUGCAGAUCGAUGCAGUCGAGGCCGUUGGGAUCGAUGCGACGAGAUGACGGGUGGCCUGUGAGAUGUGUUUGGUUAGGCUGAUAGGCUCCUGUGUGACAUUAAAAAAAAAACCGUGAGGCUAGGAUACGAGAGGGAGAGAGAGAGAGGCUUCUUCUCGGUUGCACAGUAGAAUGAUGGAGAUCACAAUACUAAAUAAUUGAGAAUGGUAGCUACAGUGGUAUGGUUGUCCGUUUGGAGCU